AUUGUGCUCAUCAUGCUGAGUAAAUGUUAGAAAAAUAGUCUGACUUAGAAUUAGAUCGAUUAAUUAAGAAUAAAUUGAUCUUAAUAAAUUGAAUGUAACAGAGGUUUAAAAAAUAUCUGUUCGAUAUUGUCAUGGGUUGAUCGAGUCUCCCAUGCAGUAGAAGUUUUAUCUUGAGAUAUUUCAUCUCCUUCCCUUUCUAGGGCAUGUCGUCCGAGAAUUUUAAGUCGAAACUUGUCAAGUUGAUAUUUUGUGAGGUUUAACCUGUAGAUCA
rnacentral:lncRNA from 1 species